GGGGCCAUAGUUAAACGGCAGAACACCUGUUUUGCAAGCAGGGGGUAUCGGUUCGAUUCCGGUUGGCUCCA
rnacentral:tRNA from 1 species